rnacentral:rRNA from 1 species
GCGGCAGGCUUAACACAUGCAGUCGAGGGGUAUAGUUCUUCGGAACUAGAGACCGGCGCACGGGUGCGUAACGCGUAUGCAAUCUACCUUUUACAGAGGGAUAGCCCAGAGAAAUUUGGAUUAAUACCUCAUAGUAUAAUGACUCGGCAUCGAGAUAUUAUUAAAGUCACAACGGUAAAAGAUGAGCAUGCGUCCCAUUAGCUAGUUGGUAAGGUAACGGCUUACCAAGGCUACGAUGGGUAGGGGUCCUGAGAGGGAGAUCCCCCACACUGGUACUGAGACACGGACCAGACUCCUACGGGAGGCAGCAGUGAGGAAUAUUGGACAAUGGGCGCAAGCCUGAUCCAGCCAUGCCGCGUGCAGGAUGACGGUCCUAUGGAUUGUAAACUGCUUUUAUACGAGAAGAAACACUACUUCGUGAAGUAGCUUGACGGUAUCGUAAGAAUAAGGAUCGGCUAACUCCGUGCCAGCAGCCGCGGUAAUACGGAGGAUCCAAGCGUUAUCCGGAAUCAUUGGGUUUAAAGGGUCCGUAGGCGGUUUAAUAAGUCAGUGGUGAAAGCCCAUCGCUCAACGGUGGAACGGCCAUUGAUACUGUUAAACUUGAAUUAUUAGGAAGUAACUAGAAUAUGUAGUGUAGCGGUGAAAUGCUUAGAGAUUACAUGGAAUACCAAUUGCGAAGGCAGGUUACUACUAAUUGAUUGACGCUGAUGGACGAAAGCGUGGGUAGCGAACAGGAUUAGAUACACUGGUAUUCCACGCCGUAAACGAUGGAUACUA